rnacentral:rRNA from 1 species
UACAGAGGUCCCAAGCGUUUGUUCGGAUUCAUUGGGCGUAAAGGGUGCGUAGGUGGCGCCGUAAGUGGGGUGUGAAAUUUCGGAGCUUAACUCCGAAACUGCAUUCCAUACUGCGGUGCUUGAGGACUGGAGAGGAGACUGGAAUUUACGGUGUAGCAGUGAAAUGCGUAGAGAUCGUAAGGAAGACCAGUGGCGAAGGCGGGGUCUCUGGACAGUUCCUGACACUGAGGCACGAAGGCCAGGGGGAGCAAACGGGG